rnacentral:rRNA from 1 species
CAAUAGCGUAUAUUAAAGUUGUUGCAGUUAAAAAGCUCGUAGUUGGAUUUCUGGUCGGAAGCUCCUGUCCUCAGAUGAGCGUACAAGUGCGUCCUACCAUCCUUCUGUUAACCUUUAAGGCUUUCGCGGCUUUCUAGGGGCUCAGAUAUUUUACCUUGAGAAAAUUAGAGUGUUUCAGGCAGGCUAGCGCCGGAAUACAUUAGCAUGGAAUAAUGGAAUAGGACUUUUGCCUCUUCUGUUGGUCAUGAGGCUCGAGUAAUGAUUAAUAGGGAUAGUUGGGGGCAUUAGUACUUAACUGUCAGAGGUGAAAUUCUCGGAUUUGUUAAAGACUAACUUAUGCGAAAGCAUUUGCCAAGGAUGUUUUCAUUAA